GACGAACGCUGGCGGCGUGCUUAACACAUGCAAGUCGAACGAUGAAGCCGGAGCUUGCUCUGGUGAAUUAGUGGCGAACGGGUGAGUAACACGUGAGUAACCUGCCCUUGACUCUGGGAUAACUGCGGGAAACUGUAGCUAAUACCGGAUACGACCCUCGGAGGCAUCUCCUGGGGGUGGAAAGAAUUUCGGUCAAGGAUGGACUCGCAGCCUAUCAGCUAGUUGGUGAGGUAAAGUCUCACCAAGGCGACGAAGGGUAGCCGGCCUGAGAGGGUGACCGGCCACACUGGGACUGAGACACGGCCCAGACUCCUACGGGAGGCAGCAGUGGGGAAUAUUGCACAAUGGGCGCAAGCCUGAUGCAGCAACGCCGCGUGAGGGAUGACGGCCUUCGGGUUGUAAACCUCUUUUAGCAGGGAAGAAGCGAAAGUGACGGUACCUGCAGAAAAAGCACCGGCUAACUACGUGCCAGCCGCCGCAGUAA
rnacentral:rRNA from 1 species